UGACCUUUUAUCUAAAGCACAAAUGGACAAUUGUAAUUCCAUUUCAACGCCAGCUUGUCCUAACACCAAACUCGGUGCAUAUUAGGGUGAUCCAUUUGCUUAACCAUAACUUUAUCAAAGCAUAGUUGGUGGCCUUCAGCAUCUCGCAUUCAUCUGUCCAGACAUUGCCUUUGCUGUGCAUAAUGUCUUUCAAUUUUUACAAGACCCUCGUGAGCCUAAUUGCACUGCCAUUAAACGCAUCAUGCG
rnacentral:misc_RNA from 1 species